AUUGAACGCUGGCGGCAGGCCUAACACAUGCAAGUCGAGCGGAUGAAGGGAGCUUGCUCCUGGAUUCAGCGGCGGACGGGCGAGUAAUGCAUAGGAAUAUGCCUGGCAGUGGGGGAUAACGUCCGGAAACGGGCGCUAAUACCGCAUACGUCCUGAGGGAGAAAGUGGGGGAUCUUCGGACCUCACGCUAUCAGAUGAGCCUAGGUGGGAUUAGCUAGUUGGUGGGGUAAAGGCCUACCAAGGCGACGAUCCGUAACUGGUCUGAGAGGAUGAUCAGUCACACUGGAACUGAGACACGGUCCAGACUCCUACGGGAGGCAGCAGUGGGGAAUAUUGGACAAUGGGCGAAAGCCUGAUCCAGCCAUGCCGCGUGUGUGAAGAAGGUCUUCGGAUUGUAAAGCACUUUAAGUUGGGAGGAAGGGCAGUAAGUUAAUACCUCGCUGUUUUGACGUUACCAACAGAAUAAGCACCGGCUAACUUCGUG
rnacentral:rRNA from 1 species